rnacentral:rRNA from 1 species
GUCUACGGCCAUGACACCCUGAACGUGUCCGAUCUCGUCUGAUUUCGGAAGCUAAGUAGGGUCGGGCCAGGUUAGUACUUGGAGGGGAGACCACCUAGGAAGACCAGGUGCUGUAGGCG